UACGUAGGGUGCGAGCGUUGCCCGGAAUUAUUGGGCGUAAAGAGCGCGUAGGCGGUCCGAUAAGUCGGCUGUGAAAGUCAAGGGCUCAACCCUUGAAAGCCGGCCGAUACUGUCGGACUAGAGUCCGGAAGAGGCGAGUGGAAUUCCCGGUGUAGCGGUGAAAUGCGCAGAUAUCGGGAGGAACACCAAUGGCGAAGGCAGCUCGCUGGGACGGUACUGACGCUGAGGCACGAAGGUCAGGGGAGCAAACGGG
rnacentral:rRNA from 1 species